rnacentral:rRNA from 1 species
UGCAAGUCGUACGCACUGGCCCAACUGAUUGAUGGUGCUUGCACCUGAUUGACGAUGGAUCACCAGUGAGUGGCGGACGGGUGAGUAACACGUAGGUAACCUGCCCCGGAGCGGGGGAUAACAUUUGGAAACAGAUGCUAAUACCGCAUAACAACAAAAGCCACAUGGCUUUUGUUUGAAAGAUGGCUUUGGCUAUCACUCUGGGAUGGACCUGCGGUGCAUUAGCUAGUUGGUAAGGUAACGGCUUACCAAGGCGAUGAUGCAUAGCCGAGUUGAGAGACUGAUCGGCCACAAUGGAACUGAGACACGGUCCAUACUCCUACGGGAGGCAGCAGUAGGGAAUCUUCCACAAUGGGCGCAAGCCUGAUGGAGCAACACCGCGUGAGUGAAGAAGGGUUUCGGCUCGUAAAGCUCUGUUGUUGGAGAAGAACGUGCGUGAGAGUAACUGUUCACGCAGUGACGGUAUCCAACCAGAAAGUCACGGCUAACUACGUGCCAGCAGCCGCGGUAAUACGUAGGUGGCAAGCGUUAUCCGGAUUUAUUGGGCGUAAAGCGAGCGCAGGCGGUUGCUUAGGUCUGAUGUGAAAGCCUUCGGCUUAACCGAAGAAGUGCAUCGGAAACCGGGCGACUUGAGUGCAGAAGAGGACAGUGGAACUCCAUGUGUAGCGGUGGAAUGCGUAGAUAUAUGGAAGAACACCAGUGGCGAAGGCGGCUGUCUGGUCUGCAACUGACGCUGAGGCUCGAAAGCAUGGGUAGCGAACAGGAUUAGAUACCCUGGUAGUCCAUGCCGUAAACGAUGAGUGCUAGGUGUUGGAGGGUUUCCGCCCUUCAGUGCCGGAGCUAACGCAUUAAGCACUCCGCCUGGGGAGUACGACCGCAAGGUUGAAACUCAAAGGAAUUGACGGGGGCCCGCACAAGCGGUGGAGCAUGUGGUUUAAUUCGAAGCUACGCGAAGAACCUUACCAGGUCUUGACAUCUUGCGCUAACCUUAGAGAUAAGGCGUUCCCUUCGGGGACGCAAUGACAGGUGGUGCAUGGUCGUCGUCAGCUCGUGUCGUGAGAUGUUGGGUUAAGUCCCGCAACGAGCGCAACCCUUGUUACUAGUUGCCAGCAUUAAGUUGGGCACUCUAGUGAGACUGCCGGUGACAAACCGGAGGAAGGUGGGGACGACGUCAGAUCAUCAUGCCCCUUAUGACCUGGGCUACACACGUGCUACAAUGGACGGUACAACGAGUCGCAAACUCGCGAGAGUAAGCUAAUCUCUUAAAGCCGUUCUCAGUUCGGACUGUAGGCUGCAACUCGCCUACACGAAGUCGGAAUCGCUAGUAAUCGCGGAUCAGCAUGCCGCGGUGAAUACGUUCCCGGGCCUUGUACACACCGCCCGUCACACCAUGGGAGUUUGUAACGCCCAAAGUCGGUGGCCUAACCUUUAUGGAGGGAGCCGCCU